rnacentral:ncRNA from 1 species
GGUUUGGUCCUGACCUUAAAAUCAAUUAUUUCUUAAUAUAUACAUGCAAGUCUCAGCCCCCCUGUGAAAACGCCCUUAAAUCCCCCUUAGGGAUAAGGAGCUGGUAUCAGGCACGAAACUCUGCCCAAAACACCUAGCCAUGCCACACCCACAAGGGAAUUCAGCAGUAAUUAACAUUGAAUAUAAGCGCCAGCUUGAUUCAGUUAAAGAAAAUAGAGCCGGCUAAUCUGGUGCCAGCCGCCGCGGUUACACCACGUGACUCAAAUUGAUUUUAAUCGGCGUAAAGCGUGAUUUAAGCACUAAAAAAUUAAAGUUAAACUUAAACUAAGCUGUAACACGCUUGUUUUUAAGAAAAUCUAAUACGAAAGUUACUUUAAUUAUAACCACUUGAACUCACGACAAUUAGAACACAAACUGGGAUUAGAUACCCCACUAUGUCUAAUCGUAAACUUUAACUUACACCCUCAUCGCCUGGGAACUACGAGCAAAGCUUAAAACCCAAAGGACUUGACGGUACCCCAAAUCCACCUAGAGGAGCCUGUCCUAUAAUCGAUAACCCCCGUUUAACCUCACCACCCCUAGUCACUCAGCCUGUAUACCUCCGUCGUCAGCUUACCACGUGAGCGAACUUUAGUGAGCUUAAUGUCAUUACAUCAAUACGUCAGGUCAAGGUGCAGCACAUGAGGUGGGAAGAGAUGGGCUACACUUUCUACUAUAGAAUAUACGAAAAACUAUAUAUGAAAAUAAGUUUGAAGGCGGAUUUAGAAGUAAAGAGAGAUAAUUAUGCUCUCUUAAACAAGGCACUGGGGUGUGUACACACCGCCCGUCACCCUCUUCAAAGCUAACUUAUAGUAUUUAACCAUAUUUGCUAUUCAGAAGAGGCAAGUCGUAACAUGGUAAGUAUACCGGAAGGUGUGCUUGGAA